rnacentral:lncRNA from 1 species
CUUCAUUAGGACAAUGACUCUCCAGAAAAAGAAAGAGAACGAACAACAAACACAAAUUAAAGCAAAUUACUCGAAAAGACAAUAACAUUUAAAUUUUACGCCUUAACUUACUGUAACUGCACGUACUCCUUUAAGUUGUGAUGCUACAUGACAAUGGAGAUUUAUGAUAAAUAUUACUACUUCUCGUACUUUUCCUCAAAUAGAAACUGUAAUCGUUAUGAAGAAGAAGAAGAAGAAGAGUAAGAGAACUAAGCAAUCUUUAAUCAAUGCAAAAUGUGACAAAAAGAGAAAUAAAAAUGAUAAUAAUGUAAUGCUCCACCCGAUUAAGGGACUUCUUUUUCCAUAAUCAAUUAUAUAUAGUCAUCCUGGACUUAUUAUUAUUAUUUUUUACAAUUUCACAAACUUCUGUGAUAAAUUUCUAGCAUUCUUUUCAUGAAUCUGCGGGUGCCCUGCAACCACUAAAGGAAUAUAUACAUAUUCUCGUGGCUCAUGAUAAUCCGAAACGGAGAGUUCUUGAUUGUAUAUGAAGACAGCGUUCUGUACCAAACAUGCACUAUAUCGACGUAAAAAUAUAUUAGUCUCGAUUCUGAGAAGAUCUUUCACGUGGUGCGAUCGCCCUAUCAUCGUGCGCCACCUCGUCAGGUGACCCACCAAACACCCUUGAGGUUUGUGGGCCACCCGCCGAAGUGGCACCUCGACGUUGGACUACCACUCCAUGAAAGAUUUUCUCCUUGAGUCUUGAGCAUUGUUCACCUGUAAGAUUUGAGAAUAGUCCCACAAAAACUGCACAUAAUAGCCUUCCAAGAUUUCCAAUAAAAUGGGAUAUGACAAAAUCUGGUCAUGGUUUUCAUGUCCGCCACCGUAGCGCCGUGAUUGCACCGCGAACAAGUUCCGGCUACCGGCUUUCUCUCUUUGAUUACCCUCUUCUGAUCCACCAAAAAGCAGAAACAAACCAUAAAACCCUCAAAUUUGAACAAGACAAAAAUCUUUUCUUCUUAUUUGGAAAGAGAAUAAAAUGACGUUAGUAUAUAUACACAUAGAGGCUACAGAGAGAGAUGGAGGAUUAUGGGCAGUAAGUCAAUGAAUUAACGUUAUCCGUAGUUGGCGGGUACUUUUUGAUGGCUAACGUUGUUG